GGGGGCGACUUGGCUUCGACGUGGGUCGCGAAACCUGAGGUGCAUGCCGAGGGGCAGAGAACCUCGUAAAUCCAGCUGCAAACUUAUAGUUGCCAACGACGACAACUACGCACUCGCUGCUUAAAACCCAGUAGGGUGCCGUCUGACUGAAGCCGUGUCUGUGCGUUCAGAUUUCAGGCGUCAUCUCUCACAGAAUCGCGAUGAAGCUCGUCCGGGGCCGAUUCGUUAAACCCUUACCGGACUCGCUGUCUGUAUUCCCUGCCCGUCGGGUAGCAGGCAGUUAAAUGAAUUGACGCGGAUAAGCAUGUAGAACCGAAGGCAGAGGAUUUGCGGACGCGGGUUCGAUUCCCGCCGCCUCCACCA
rnacentral:tmRNA from 1 species